UACGUAGGGGGCUAGCGUUGUCCGGAUUUAUUGGGCGUAAAGAGCGUGUAGGCGGCCAGGUAGGUCUGCUGUGAAAACUCGAGGCUCAACCUCGAGACGUCGGCGGAAACCAUCUGGCUAGAGUCCGGAAGAGGAGAGUGGAAUUCCUGGUGUAGCGGUGAAAUGCGCAGAUAUCAGGAAGAACACCCGUGGCGAAGGCGCCUCUCUGGGACGGUACUGACGCUGAGACGCGAAAGCGUGGGGAGCGAACAGG
rnacentral:rRNA from 1 species